rnacentral:lncRNA from 1 species
GCUGAUUAAUUUUUCCAGUCUGUGUCAUCUAAGCUUGUUCGACAUCAGGCUGCAUUCUCAUUUCCAAAUUAAUAGCAGCAGUUUAAGGUUUAUGAAAGGUAUUAAACAUCUACCCUUGGAACAGAACAGUAAAGAACAGAAAGCUAUGUUUUGUUGUCUUCCAAUCACCCAUGAAGAAACCUCAUGUUAUAUAGCAUAAUGAAAAUACAUGGAACCCCCAAGUAAGGAACCAUUGCUUUCAGUACCAGCUGAUUCUGUUGUCUGAUGUUUAAACUCAAAAAAAAUGUACAGUACAAAAUAAGAUGUGAUGACUAAGUGGACUGACACAGGAACUGCAUUAGAAGAUAAGCAAAGUCUAAAAGGGUAAGUCAAUAUUAAAUUGAUGAGUAACAGGAAUUCCUUGCAUUAAGUCUACAUGUAAGUCUACAGGAGCAUUAACUGAAUGAAAAGCAUUUUCCUUCCUCUCUCCUUUACAGAUACUGUGGAAAGCGCUGGAUAUGGAAUAUGCACCACGUUCCUUGCUAUGAAGUGCAUUUGCAUUCCGUGUCACUAACAACAGUUGAAAUGACCAGGCUAAAGAAUAGCAAAGAGAACGUGCAAGGAAACAAAUGCCAGGAGAAGGCUUUAAAAUACAAAUUAAAAAGCAGAAGCCAGUGA